rnacentral:rRNA from 1 species
AGCGAACGCUGGCGGCAGGCCUAACACAUGCAAGUCGAACGAAGUCUUCGGACUUAGUGGCGGACGGGUGAGUAACACGUGGGAACGUACCUUUUGGUUCGGGAUAACGCAGGGAAACUUGCGCUAAUACCGAAUGUGCUCUUCGGAGGAAAGAUUUAUCGCCAUUAGAGCGGCCCGCGUUGGAUUAGGUAGUUGGUGAGGUAAAGGCUCACCAAGCCUACGAUCCAUAGCUGGUCUGAGAGGAUGAUCAGCCACACUGGGACUGAGACACGGCCCAGACUCCUACGGGAGGCAGCAGUGGGGAAUCUUGCGCAAUGGUCGAAAGACUGACGCAGCCAUGCCGCGUGAAUGAUGAAGGUCUUAGGAUUGUAAAAUUCUUUUAGCA